GGAGUCGGCCGGGCGGCCGCGGGCUUCGGCUCGAGGAAAGUCCGGACUCCGCAGGGCAGGGUGCCGGUGAGAACCGGGCGGGGGCGACCUCGCGGACAGCGCAACAGAAAACAGACCGCCGGCGCUUCGGCGUCGGUAAGGGUGAAACGGUGAGGUAAGAGCUCACCAGCGUGUCGGGCAACCGGCGCGGCUCGGCAAGCCCCACCCGGAGCAAGGUCAAGCAGGCAGCGUCUGAGGGCGGCCCGCCCGAGCUGCCGGGUAGACCGCACCGAGCCGGUGAACGGCCCGGCGGCGAGCGCUUCGGCGUCCGCCGAGAGAGAUGGUCGCCGGCGGGGCGCAGGCCCCGCGCACAGGAUCCGGCUUACAGGCCGACUCCUCCG
rnacentral:RNase_P_RNA from 1 species